rnacentral:rRNA from 1 species
CCCUUAGAUGUUCUGGGCCGCACGCGCGCUACACUGAUGCAUUCAACAAGCCUAGCCUUGACCGAGAGGUCCGGGUAAUCUUUGAAACUGCAUCGUGAUGGGGCUAGAUUAUUGCAAUUAUUAAUCUUCAACGAGGAAUGCCUAGUAAGCGUGAUUCAUCAAAUCGCGUUGAUUACGUCCCUGCCCUUUGUACACACCGCCCGUCGCUCCUACCGAUUGAACGUUUUAGUGAGGCAUUUGGACCGACGCAUCUCAGUUUAACCGCUGGUUUGUGUUGGAAAGACUUCCAAACUUGAGCGUUUAGAGGAAGUAAAAGUCGUAACA